ACAGAGGUGGCAAGCGUUGUUCGGAAUUACUGGGCGUAAAGGGCGCGUAGGCGGUUCGUUAAGUCCUGUGUGAAAUCCCCCGGCUCAACUGGGGAACUGCACAGGAAACUAGCGGGCUUGAGUUCGGGAGAGGGAAGCGGAAUUCCGGGUGUAGCGGUGAAAUGCGUAGAUAUCGUCAAGAACACCGAUAGUGAAGACAGCUUACUAGACUGUAACUGACGCUGAGGCACGAAAGUGUGGGGAGCAAACAGGA
rnacentral:rRNA from 1 species